GCUUGUCUCAAAGAUUAAGCCAUGCAUGUCUAAGUAUAAAUAAUUCUAUACUGUGAAACUGCGAAUGGCUCAUUAUAUCAGUUAUAGUUUAUUUGAUAGUCCCUUACUACUUGGAUAACCGUAGUAACUCUAGAGCUAAUACAUGCGCAAAUUCCCGACUGUCGCAAGGCGGAAAGGAUGUAUUUAUUAGAUCCAACCAGCCCGGUUCGCCGGAGUCCCUGGUGAGUCAUAAUAACUUAGCGGAUCGCAGAGGCCUCGCGCCGGCGACAAAUCAUUCAAGUUUCUGCCCUAUCAGCUUUCGAUGGUAGUGUAUUGGACUACCAUGGCAUUCACGGGUAACGGAGGAUUAGGGUUCGAUUCCGGAGAGGGAGCCUGAGAAAUGGCUACCACAUCCAAGGAAGGCAGCAGG
rnacentral:rRNA from 1 species